UACGGAGGGGGCUAGCGUUGUUCGGAAUUACUGGGCGUAAAGCGCACGUAGGCGGCUUUGUAAGUUAGAGGUGAAAGCCCGGGGCUCAACUCCGGAAUUGCCUUUAAGACUGCAUCGCUUGAACGUCGGAGAGGUAAGUGGAAUUCCGAGUGUAGAGGUGAAAUUCGUAGAUAUUCGGAAGAACACCAGUGGCGAAGGCGACUUACUGGACGACUGUUGACGCUGAGGUGCGAAAGCGUGGGGAGCAAACAGG
rnacentral:rRNA from 1 species